ensembl:lncRNA
AAGCAACCCCCGAUAGAGCUCCUGCAUCAGACACUGGGCCAACUGGUGAUUGAAACCAGUACGGUUAACAACAACACACACACACACACACACAACGAACACAGUGAAAGCAGUUUUUGGCUAUUAAUCUCUCUGCAGCUGCAAUGACAUAAUAAACGGACAGCAGCUUGAUUACACCUUUUCUUUUUUAUUUCUGUUCGAGGGUUACACAGACAAGUCCGAUGAAGCAAUACGUCUUUAUCAGAUCAAAGAGUUGGAAAAGAUUCCUCAACCAGAAUGAACAAGACUCCCAAAGAGUUGUCAAUAGUUGUAUUCAUAAGCACCUUUGGUUCAAUGGCUUCAUUGUGAAGGCAAUUGUUGUAAUUUCCCUGCUGCUGGACUAAUAAAGGAUUAUCUUUUCUUAAUUGGAAGAUGUUGAAUGUUUAUUAAUUGAGUAAUCCCUGUGACAAUUCCUAUGUGUGUUAAUUAAUUCAACAGGAAAACAUUUAGUUUGCUCCUUACGAGAUUGGUGUAAGUGCUGCCUUCCUCCUGUAAAAAUAAUAGACCUAAAGAGGAAAUAACAGCUGAUUAUUUUCCGUUUACUGUUCCAGCAUUUGUUGAUACUGUAUCCAGAAUAACACAGUAUAUAAGUGCAGGGAAUGAGCAACAGCGGGAAUAAACACUGAAUAUCAAAAGCAGAUGUAUAUACAGGGAAAUAUUAAUCCAGGUUCAAUUUAGAAAAAGUCAAACAAUGUGUAGAUCCAUUGUGGUAACCGCGGUAAUCGUAGCCUCAUAGAGCUGAUUUUCCUAUCGAGUGCCUCUCCAGACGAGGUUGACCGGUCUGUUCCAUAAUAUCCGAGCAGCAGAAUACACUCCACUGUCCUGCUGAGUUUGUGUCACAGCUUCUCCGUGUCCAAGCUGCUGGCGAUGCAUCCCGAGAACUGGAUUGUCGGUGAUGGAGCUCAUGCAGUUUGCAGCCAUGCCAGGAGCAAACAUCUGCUGCAGGCGAUGCUAUGUCCACAGUCCAAACCAGGAUUAAGUAUGAUCCUAGAAGCAAAAGACAGACACUAAUGAUUCAAUGAGGCCAAAAUAAAAAAACUUGAGACUUUAACAUUGACACAUGUUUGGUUUUCUGGCAAUAUUCCUUUUCAAACUGCUCAGCAAAGUUAAAACAACCAGAGAUUUAUGAAACACUCAGAACUGAUCAACCCAAAGUUCUUCUCCACUGAUGUCUUAAGCCGAUUUGGCUCCGUUCACAAACUUUUGCCACAAAAAAGGGCUUCACUGUUCAAACUGGUAUAAGGGAGAUGAAGAGCCACAUCGGAAAUGAUCACAUCACGAGUUGUGGCAAAAGACGAUACAAAUCAGAGAGCAUCCUCAAGUUGGAGCUCGACGUACCAGAAUUUGAGAUUAGAUGUCAAAAAUAUUGCUUUAGGUCCAAAAGAAAGCACUGAUUUGAAAGAAAUGUUACAGAACGGCACUUUUAUCUAGAAUACGUGUUCGUAUUUGUUUUGGAAAAAAAAAACAGCGGAACGAGUAUGUUGUUGUCUAAUGAGAGGGCUGCUGAUCAGCGUAAAACAUCUGCUUCCCCCCCCCAUUGACGUCAGAACAACCAGAGGUGAGGUAAUGCAGGUAGGUGGCCUCUUGACAACCUGUAGCCUGCUUCACCCGGGCUCGUGCAUACAACCACCCACACAAGGACAUUACGUUUUCUGCCCCCCUCACACCAUCCACUCAGCCAAAGCGGCGGGACCGGCCCGUCCCACUCCGCCCUGUGAAGCAGCAACGUGUCAGAUGAUAAGUAGACAUCCAUCAAAGUUUUUUUCCCGUCCUCUUUUUCCGCCUGUCUGCACCUCCGAAGGUGGUUUACCUGCGAGGAGUCACGUCCCACCGGUGUACAGGAUGGGGCUUAACUCGCAUGGCUUUUUCUUCAUCUCGCUCCUCCUUUCAGUUCCCUCUUCAUCGCCCGGCCCUCACACAUCAUCAUCAUCAUCAUCUCUCCCUCUCCAACCUCCGCCACAACCACUCUUUAUUGCUUGUUGUCACUCUCUGUUAUUAUACAUCCUCCUCUUUCGGGUUGCGUGCUCUCUCUCUCUCUCUCUCUCUCUCUCUCUCAGCUCCACAACUCAACAAUCAUCCUUUCACCGGAUUUUCUCUAUCGUUCCCUUUUACCCUGUAUUCAGUUUUAUUUCCCUUCCCACGUUUCUCUCCUAUGCCUCACCUUGGAGCAGAGCCAGCGGAGCAGCAUCAGCACACACAACCGGGUCCUAACCUGCCUAUGAGUCUCAGCCUGCCCGUGUGCGCCGGUCUGUGCCGCGGGCCUGUGUCUGAGACCAGCCCCAUAUCGCCCUCUCUCAUCAGCACAUUCGCUGUACCUGUCUGCUGGCCCCCUGCCACUCACUCACACAUCCGCACACAGUUACCCCUCAAUUACAGAGGGACCCUGAAUAAAAAAAAGACACAAUGCAAGCCAAAAAUCUGUAAAAAAAAAACCUACUCAUGUUAGGGUCGAGCAAGUUUGACCUCCAUCGGGAACACCCACGGCUGCCCCCGAGAGGCACACGUAUACAGUACCAUGCAUUCAGCCUGCUGGCUGCCCCGCGCCGGCCCAUCAACAGGUUUCUUUGAAGGGCACCGACUCUGCGGUGGGGCCAUCAAAGCAUAUUUUCAUUCAUGUCCACCGAAGGGAUCUGAGGCUCCUGAGAGACGCGGUGUUUGAAGUGAUAUCUCUAUGCCACUGCAUUCUUUACCGCGCUGUCACGACUUGAGUUACACAAUCCCCCCAAAAAGAAAGAAAACGCCAGUGCCACCACCAUCAGCACGUCCCACAUAUUUGUGAACCACUGCUAUCUUUUUGAUCGGUGGCUGUUCCAUACUCGGUUGUUAAUAGCAACUUACAGUUUAUAAUAAGGCAGCGCUGUGUGUGUGUGUGUGUGUGUGUGUGAUCACAUGUCGCACUUGAGCGAAGAUCAAACCAAAAUCACUCAUCCUUACCUGAAGGAAUCUCUUGAGAUCAUGUUUCCAUUAGUCAGGCUGUUUUCUGCGCUCACCUGAGAUCAUCUGAAAAAGAUUAAAGAUGGGGAAAUAAAAUGAUUUAGAAAGUCGCUCAUUCAAGAGUAAACACAGUUGACAAAAAAAGAGAAACCAGAUGUAAUGGCUCUGUCCAAACUUGCAUCAAUCAGCGAGUAUUUAUCUUUCUACGUUGCAUUGUGAAAGUUCCUUCAUCUGUUUUCACAGGUCAGAUGGGGUUACAGUGCAGUCGUCUCCAACCGUUAAGUUGCUAAAUCAAUUCGAAGAGAUCACGAGAUGAUGGGCCGGAUGAAAAAACGGGGAGAAUGUAUGUGUAAGCAGUGAUGACGGGUCGCACACAGUAUACACACUGUGGAGGACCUACUGCUAGCACACUGCCAACACCGCAACCCGUGAUCCAAGGUUGCAGUAGAGCUCUGCAGAAACUGGCAGGUAAGGAGAAGCAAAGCCGUGUUCUUCUUUUCACUGGCUAACAAGUUACAGGUAGAUAUUGUAUCAAGAAACUUCUCUUGAUCACUGGUUUCUUC